GCGACAGGCGGCGGCUGCUGGGCUCCAAGGGGCCAAGGGCAUUCCUUGCUGAUUAAAAAAAAUGAAAUGGUUGUUCUCCCAUUGCACUCCUGUGGAAA